AACGAACGCUGGCGGCAUGCCUAACACAUGCAAGUCGAACGAGACCUGCGGGUCUAGUGGCGCACGGGUGCGUAACGCGUGGGAACCUGCCCUUAGGUUCGGAAUAACUCCCCGAAAGGGGUGCUAAUACCGGAUAAUGUCUUCGGACCAAAGAUUUAUCGCCUUUGGAUGGGCCCGCGUUGGAUUAGCUAGUUGGUAGGGUAAAAGCCUACCAAGGCGACGAUCCAUAGCUGGUCUGAGAGGAUGAUCAGCCACACUGGGACUGAGACACGGCCCAGACUCCUACGGGAGGCAGCAGUGGGGAAUAUUGGACAAUGGGCGAAAGCCUGAUCCAGCAAUGCCGCGUGAGUGAUGAAGGCCUUAGGGUUGUAAAGCUCUUUUCCCACGGAUGAUAAUGCCAGUACCGGGAGAAUAAGCUCCGGCUAACUCCGUG
rnacentral:rRNA from 1 species